rnacentral:rRNA from 1 species
UACGGAGGAUGCGAGCGUUAUCCGGAUUUAUUGGGUUUAAAGGGUGCGUAGGCGGCUUUUUAAGUCGGCGGUGAAAUUUUGCAGCUCAACUGUAAAAGUGCCUUCGAUACUGGCUUCCUUGAGUGUGGAUGAAGUAGGCGGAAUUUGUGGUGUAGCGGUGAAAUGCUUAGAUAUCACGAGGAACUCCGAUUGCGUAGGCAGCUUACUAAACUACUACUGACGCUCAGGCACGAAGGCGUGGGGAUCAAACAGGAUUAGAUACCCCCGUAGUCCCU